CUGCGGCAGCGACACUGUGUGUUGUUGGGUAGGGGAGCGUUCUGUAAGCCUGUGAAGGUGGCCUGUGAGGGUUGCUGGAGGUAUCAGAAGUGCGAAUGCUGACAUAAGUAACGAUAAAGCGGGUGAAAAGCCCGCUCGCCGGAAGACCAAGGGUUCCUGUCCAACGUUAAUCGGGGCAGGGUGAGUCGACCCCUAAGGCGAGGCCGAAAGGCGUAGUCGAUGGGAAACGGGUUAAUAUUCCCGUACUUGGUGUUACUGCGAAGGGGGGACGGAGAAGGCUAUGUUGGCCGGGCGACGGUUGUCCCGGUUUAAGCGUGUAGGUGUGUGUUCCAGGUAAAUCCGGUUCACUUUAACACUGAGGCGUGACGACGAGGCACUACGGUGCUGAAGCAACAAAUGCCCUGCUUCCAGGAAAAGCCUCUAAGCAUCAGGUAACAUCAAAUCGUACCCCAAACCGACACAGGUGGUCAGGUAGAGAAUACCAAGGCGCUUGAGAGAACUCGGGUGAAGGAACUAGGCAAAAUGGUGCCGUAACUUCGGGAGAAGGCACGCUGACACGUAGGUGAAGUGAUUUACUCACGGAGCUGAAGUCAGUCGAAGAUACCAGCUGGCUGCAACUGUUUAUUAAAAACACAGCACUGUGCAAACACGAAAGUGGACGUAUACGGUGUGACGCCUGCCCGGUGCCGGAAGGUUAAUUGAUGGGGUCAGCGCAAGCGAAGCUCCUGAUCGAAGCCCCGGUAAACGGCGGCCGUAACUAUAACGGUCCUAAGGUAGCGAAAUUCCUUGUCGGGUAAGUUCCGACCUGCACGAAUGGCGUAAUGAUGGCCAGGCUGUCUCCACCCGAGACUCAGUGAAAUUGAACUCGCUGUGAAGAUGCAGUGUACCCGCGGCAAGACGGAAAGACCCCGUGAACCUUUACUAUAGCUUGACACUGAACAUUGAGCCUUGAUGUGUAGGAUAGGUGGGAGGCUUUGAAGCGUGGACGCCAGUCUGCGUGGAGCCGACCUUGAAAUACCACCCUUUAAUGUUUGAUGUUCUAACGUGGACCCGUGAUCCGGGUUGCGGACAGUGUCUGGUGGGUAGUUUGACUGGGGCGGUCUCCUCCUAAAGAGUAACGGAGGAGCACGAAGGUUGGCUAAUCCUGGUCGGACAUCAGGAGGUUAGUGCAAUGGCAUAAGCCAGCUUGACUGCGAGCGUGACGGCGCGAGCAGGUGCGAAAGCAGGUCAUAGUGAUCCGGUGGUUCUGAAUGGAAGGGCCAUCGCUCAACGGAUAAAAGGUACUCCGGGGAUAACAGGCUGAUACCGCCCAAGAGUUCAUAUCGACGGCGGUGUUUGGCACCUCGAUGUCGGCUCAUCACAUCCUGGGGCUGAAGUAGGUCCCAAGGGUAUGGCUGUUCGCCAUUUAAAGUGGUACGCGAGCUGGGUUUAGAACGUCGUGAGACAGUUCGGUCCCUAUCUGCCGUGGGCGCUGGAGAACUGAGGGGGGCUGCUCCUAGUACGAGAGGACCGGAGUGGACGCAUCACUGGUGUUCGGGUUGUCAUGCCAAUGGCACUGCCCGGUAGCUAAAUGCGGAAGAGAUAAGUGCUGAAAGCAUCUAAGCACGAAACUUGCCCCGAG
rnacentral:rRNA from 1 species